AGUGAACGCUGGCGGUAGGCCUAACACAUGCAAGUCGAACGGCAGCACAGUAAGAGCUUGCUCUUACGGGUGGCGAGUGGCGGACGGGUGAGGAAUACAUCGGAAUCUACUUUUUCGUGGGGGAUAACGUAGGGAAACUUACGCUAAUACCGCAUACGACCUACGGGUGAAAGCAGGGGAUCUUCGGACCUUGCGCGAUUGCAUGAGCCGAUGUCGGAUUAGCUAGUUGGCGGGGUAAAGGCCCACCAAGGCGACGAUCCGUAGCUGGUCUGAGAGAAUGAUCAGCCACACUGGAACUGAGACACGGUCCAGACUCCUACGGGAGGCAGCAGUGGGGAAUAUUGGACAAAGGGCGCAAGCCUGAUCCAGCCAUACCGCGUGGGUGAAGAAGGCCUUCGGGUUGUAAAGCCCUUUUGUUGGGAAAGAAAAGCAGCAGGUUAAUACCCCGCUGUUCUGACGGUACCCAAAGAAUAAGCACCGGCUAACUUCGUG
rnacentral:rRNA from 1 species